rfam:Pan troglodytes isolate Yerkes chimp pedigree #C0471 (Clint) chromosome 16, whole genome shotgun sequence.
GCUGGGCGUGGUGGCUCACGCCUGUAAUCCCAGCAGUUUGGGAGGCUGAGGCAGGUGGAUCACUUGAGGUCAGGAAUUUGAGACCAGCCUGGCCAACAUAGUGAAACCCUGUCUCUA